AGAGUUUGAUCCUGGCUCAGAUUGAACGCUGGCGGCAGGCCUAACACAUGCAAGUCGAGCGGAUGACAGGAGCUUGCUCCUGAAUUCAGCGGCGGACGGGUGAGUAAUGCCUAGGAAUCUGCCUGGUAGUGGGGGACAACGUUUCGAAAGGAACGCUAAUACCGCAUACGUCCUACGGGAGAAAGCAGGGGACCUUCGGGCCUUGCGCUAUCAGAUGAGCCUAGGUCGGAUUAGCUAGUUGGUGAGGUAAUGGCUCACCAAGGCGACGAUCCGUAACUGGUCUGAGAGGAUGAUCAGUCACACUGGAACUGAGACACGGUCCAGACUCCUACGGGAGGCAGCAGUGGGGAAUAUUGGACAAUGGGCGAAAGCCUGAUCCAGCCAUGCCGCGUGUGUGAAGAAGGUCUUCGGAUUGUAAAGCACUUUAAGUUGGGAGGAAGGGCAUUAACCUAAUACGUUAGUGUUUUGACGUUACCGACAGAAUAAGCACCGGCUAACUCUGUGCCAGCAGCCGCGGUAAUAC
rnacentral:rRNA from 1 species